CCCGACCGUGAGGGACGAAACCCAGGGGAGCGAACCGGAUUAGAUACCCCGGGUAGUCCUGGGCGUAAACGAUGCGGGCUAGGUGUCGGGGUGGCUUCGGGCUACCCCGGUGCCGAAGGGAGGCCGUUGAGCCCGCCGCCUGGAGAGUACGGCCGCAAGGCUGAAACUUAAAGGAAUUGGCGGGGGAGUACCACAAGGGGUGGAGCCUGCGGUUUAAUUGGACUCAACGCCGGGAAACUUACCGGGGGAGACAGCUGGAUGAGGGCCAGGCUGAAGACCUUGCCAGACUAGCUGAGAGGUGGUGCAUGGCCGUCGCCAGUUCGUGACGUGAGUUGUCCGCUUAAGUGCGGCAACGAACGAGACCCGCACCCCUAGUUGCCAGCUAUCCCCUUCGGGGGAUAGGGCAGCACUAGGGGGACUGCCGUCGAUGAGACGGAGGAAGGUGCGGGCCACGGCAGGUCAGUAUGCCCCGAUAACCCCCGGGCCACACGCGGGCUACAAUGGCUAGGACAAUGGGUUCCGACCCCGAAAGGGGAAGGUAAUCCCAUAAACCUAGCCGCAGUUGGGAUCGAGGGCUGCAACUCGCCCUCGUGAACGUGGAAUCCCCAGUAANNNNCGUGU
rnacentral:rRNA from 1 species